rnacentral:rRNA from 1 species
CGUACAUCCAGAGAACUUAGCAGAGAUGCUUUGGUGCCUUCGGGAACUCUGAGACAGGUGCUGCAUGGCUGUCGUCAGCUCGUGUUGUGAAAUGUUGGGUUAAGUCCCGNAACGAGCGCAACCCUUAUCCUUUGUUGCCAGCGGCUCGGCCGGGAACUCAAAGGAGACUGCCGGUGAUAAACCGGAGGAAGGUGGGGAUGACGUCAAGUCAUCAUGGCCCUUACGGCCAGGGCUACACACGUGCUACAAUGGCGCAUACAAAGAGAAGCGACCUCGCGAGAGCAAGCGGACCUCAUAAAGUGCGUCGUAGUCCGGAUUGGAGUCUGCAACUCGACUCCAUGAAGUCGGAAUCGCUAGUAAUCGUAGAUCAGAAUGCUACGGUGAAUACGUUCCCGGGCCUUGUACACACCGCCCGUCACACCAUGGGAGUGGGUUACAAAAGAAGUAGGUAGCUUAACCUUCGGGAGGGCGCUUACCACUUUGUGAUUCAUGACUGGGGUGAAGUCGUAACAAGGUAAGCGUAGCGAG